CACGUAGGGUGCGAGCGUUGUCCGGAAUUAUUGGGCGUAAAGAGCUCGUAGGCGGUGUGUCGCGUCGGCCGUGAAAACCUGCAGCUUAACUGUGGGCGUGCGGUCGAUACGGGCAUCACUGGAGUUCGGCAGGGGAGACUGGAAUUCCUGGUGUAGCGGUGAAAUGCGCAGAUAUCAGGAGGAACACCGGUGGCGAAGGCGGUCUCUGGGCAUUACCUGACGCUGAGGAGCGAAAGUGUGGGGAGCGAACAGG
rnacentral:rRNA from 1 species